GGUGGAGCGGCGGACGAGUUAGUGACGCGUGGGAAUAUACCCUUCUCUACGGAAUAGCCUCGGGAAACUGAGAGUAAUACCGUAUACGCCCUUUGGGGGAAAGAUUUAUCGGAGAAGGAUUAGCCCGCGUAAGAUUAGAUAGUUGGUGGGGUAAUGGCCUACCAAGUCUACGAUCUUUAGCUGGUUUUAGAGGAUGAUCAGCAACACUGGGACUGAGACACGGCCCAGACUCCUACGGGAGGCAGCAGUGGGGAAUCUUAGACAAUGGGCGAAAGCCUGAUCUAGCCAUGCCGCGUGAGUGAAGAAGGCCCUAGGGUCGUAAAGCUCUUUCGCCAGGGAUGAUAAUGACAGUACCUGGUAAAGAAGCCCCGGCUAACUCCGUGCCAGCAGCCGCGGUAAUACGGAGGGGGCUAGCGUUGUUCGGAAUUACUGGGCGUAAAGCGCACGUAGGCGGAUCAGAAAGUAAGGGGUGAAAUCCCGAGGCUCAACCUCGGAACUGCCUCUUAAACUCCUGGUCUUGAGUUCGAGAGAGGUGAGUGGAAUUCCAAGUGUAGAGGUGAAAUUCGUAGAUAUUUGGAGGAACACCAGUGGCGAAAGCGGC
rnacentral:rRNA from 1 species